rnacentral:lncRNA from 1 species
GGCUCCGCCGGGAGCCGCUGAGGGGAGGGGACUGCAGGAGGCGGGUUAACAGCAACCAAGGCCGUCGCAAGCCUCAACGGUCCCAGAAGGAGGGGGGAGCCGGCGGACGGCUUGUUGCGUGUGAAGCGCGACAUGGCGGCGAGGCCGACCAGCCCGAGUGGCCUCGUGUAUGCAGAGAAGGGGCGGGGCUAGAGCGGUCUCGACCUCCAGUAGACUUGCCUCCGGCAGGGCCGCGCGGAGACUACAUUUCCCAGAGGGUGCUGCGCGUCGCGGAAAGGAGGGGGAGGAAGCACUUUGACUCCAGUGCGCAGGCGUGAGAGUCUCCUCAGGCUAUUUAAGCGAGGCUGGAGUGUUUCGCGUUCUUUCGCUUCUGCGGCUCUCGUCGGAGCCUUCGUCUCUCUGUUCCUCUUCUGAUGGCGUUCUACCCUGGGAACGUGGGUGUGCUACUCCAUGUGGUUUGCAUGAUCAGAGACUGCAGGAUGGAUCUCGGAGAAGACGGCUCCUGCUGGGCCUCUAAGGCAACCAUGUAUAGACAUCCACAAUCUUCAGUCUCCUGAUCUCUGGGGUUUACUAGUGGCAGAAAGCAGACUUUGAAUGGACUAUCAUUUGGAAAGAAUGGGUAAGUCAUGUCCAUUAACUGUUCCUUUUUAAAAGGGGUUAUCCCCCUCGCGUUCUAAUUACUGUGACCCAAAUAUAUGGCCAUUGCAGCUGAUGACUUUUCUCCCAGUCAGAUCGACCCUGUUGAUCUCACUGAAUUAGCCAGUUUUGUUGAUGGCAUUGGUCACAAACACAACCUCAGUUUUCUGCUUACCAUCAACAGAUUUUGCUAUGUGGGAAUUGGGCUUGCUUCAAGGGUUUUUUCCCCCCUUAACCAAUCAAGUUAUUGGCUUCAUUUGUUGACUUUCUGCAGGGCUAGAGCACCCUGUGUUCGUCAAGGCAAUGAGGAAGUGGAUUCCAGCCUGAUUUUGCCGUCAGCUUGGUUCAGUCUAUCCUGUAACAGGGCAUUUAUCAGCUAUGGACUUGGAAUACAAGGCCUCAAAUGACUGAUCCUGUGCUCUCCAGAGAAAGCAUGACUUGGUUGAUUAGUCUCACAAGAUGAUUCUGCAACCCAGGUGUCCAGAGUUGGAAAAGCCUGUGCCUGCUCUGAAGAAUCAGUUACUAAUUUUUAGCCUCCCUAUGUGGAAAAUAAAGUCCUUUAAAUCAAAACGUUGUUGUACUUGAUUAUUGGAGAUAGUGGCUUAGAACAGGGGCAAUGAGUAACCACCAUAUUUUUAGCCCCAAGGGCAGGUAGCAGGUAAAUCCCAUACUUGUACAUUUUUACAGGAAUUUUUCUGAUCAGGGUUGUUCCCAGUCUAGGGGUGUGGAAUCUAGCUGUAGCUUUUUAUCUUUUCUGGUAAGACUUAGUAUUGACUCCUUGAAUCCCAUCCCCUUGAGCAUAUGAGUAUGGAUCUAGUGCUUCCAAGGAAUAGAAGACUAGCAAGAGGGGACCAUUAACCUCUGAUAAUUGAUUGU